GAUGAAGAACGUAGCGAAAUGCGAUAAGUAAUGUGAAUUGCAGAAUUCAGUGAAUCAUCGAAUCUUUGAACGCACAUUGCGCCCGCCAGUAUUCUGGCGGGCAUGCCUGGCCGAGCGUCAUUUCAACCCUCGAACCCCUCCGGGGGGUCGGCGUUGGGGAUCGGCCCUGCCUCUUGGCGGUGGCCGUCUCCGAAAUACAGUGGCGGUCUCGCCGCAGCCUCUCCUGCGCAGUAGUUUGCACACUCGCAUCGGGAGCGCGGCGCGUCCACAGCCGUUAAACACCCAACUUCUGAAAUGUUGACCUCGGAUCAGGUAGGAAUACCCGCUGAACUUAAGCAUAUCAAUAAGCGGAGGA
rnacentral:misc_RNA from 1 species